CGGAGAGCAGAGAGAGGAGUGUAGGAGUCAUACCUGUCAUAGUUGUUCGACUUCGAACUUCAUCGUCGAGGUGAAGCUUGCUUGUUGACAGUCGGCCUACUUGAUUCGAUCGGAGUUUUAUUUUUCUUUUGUUUCUUCUUCUGACCUUUUCCGUCUGUUUGGUAUUGAUCAGAAGUAGCUUCAUCUGCGUGAAUAUACUUGUACACGCACUCCACAAGUUCAACAU
rnacentral:lncRNA from 1 species